AUUGCUCUCAGCUGGGCGACUGUGUGCCCAGCAAGUGGAAUUCACUGCUUUUUCGGAGAGAACCCAUCCAGGUUUGAAGAAAAUCACCAACCGGGUUUUGGGAAGAAAGUCCAUAUGGGAGUGAUGACAAGCAACAAUCCGUCUGGGCUCCAAAGAAGAGAAAUUGAAUAAUCUUUGACUGACAUGGAGACAAGAAGCGAGACCAUCGUUUUCUCCCCAUCCUGAUUUAUGUGUCCCACGCCACCAAGACU